CCAGUCCAUUGCCUACUUGAAGUUUAAACAACGGAAAGGACAAGUUUGCUUUAUACACUGAUGUCGGAGCUUGGAGAAAUUCACUUGACUACAUUACCCAGCUCAGGCAGUCUGCAAUACUCAAAGAAUGUCCACGACUAAGAUGUUGAACCAGAUGGCCUACAUCCAGAACUGACGCAUGGAGUUCAAAACUACAUGGAUAAAGG